CAGGCCCUGCCCCUCAGAAUGGUGGCCAGGUACCAGGGGUCGGAGCGGGUGUGAAACCACCAAAGCCAGCAUUUGGCAACGGGAAUAAGAUGGGAGCCCAGGCCUUCCCGGGAGGCGGAGCCCAGCCAGGCUUGGGCGGAGGCGGGAAGCAGCAGCCACCAGGUGAGCGAGUGAGCCUGCCCGCCCGCCUGCCCACCUUCUGGAUUCUGUCCCUUCCCAUCCCAGAC